GGGGAGAUUGUUAGGAAUAAUCCAAGUGUGGGUUUAAUUCCCAUAUUUGAUACGAAUGACAAAGUUAAACACCACAUAAGAAAAAAACUCAUAAACUCAAUGUUUCAAGGUUUUAGGUUAAAAGUGAUGUCAAUUCCUUAUAUAGGUUGGACUCAUGUCACAUUUAUGUAAUCUCUUUCAAAGGAAACCUCCUCAAGAACCCCUAAUGAGAAACAUGUUAUGCACAUCCAUUUGGUGAACUGAUGGAAGACGCCUUGAGGAAGUUGACCGAGAGGCAAUGCGGACCUCCUCGAAGCUUCUCCGACGAUGAAUGACGUAGUGGAAUGAUGAAAACGAAGCUCUAAAAGAGCUGACUGGACGGAUAUGGAAAAUGAACACAAUGAAACCCUAGAAAAGAGGGGAAACUGGAUUUGGACCGAUUAAACGGUGGAAAUCGAAGUUUAAUCGGUGAACAAGGUUUGGAUCGGUUCAACAAAGGUUUUAAUCGGCUAAAAUGGAGGAAAAUAGUCAGAGAAGGAAGAAACCCUAAUCUGAGGUUGGAGAUUGAAAAGGAAGAACGAAAAUGUGGUUCUGUUACGAAGAAGAAGGUGAAACAGAACCUGAUUGACGGUGACGAAGGACUCUCGAGGACGAUGAACUCUCCUGCGGACGUCGAAGGUGAGAAGAGAAUGAAUGUGCGCGAGUGGAGUUUUGAGAAAUGAAGAAUUCUCUCUCUGAUGCGUGAGAGAGAAUUUGUCUAAUGAUUUAGAUGGCUGACGAUGAGAGAGAAGCACGGUGGAGCUUUGGAAAAUGAAAAUGAAGUGUGCUUUGGAAGGAGGCUAGAGGUCUUUGGACUCUCUAGCCAAUGACUUUGAAGAGAGAAUUAUUUUCUGAUUUAGAAAACCAAAUUCUCAUUAAUCUCAAAAGUAAAUAGUACAAAUGAGGAGUUGGGUAUUUAUAGUG
rnacentral:lncRNA from 1 species